rnacentral:lncRNA from 1 species
UUUUUUUUUUUUUUGGAAACUGGACAGGAGUCAGAACAGGGAUUGUUUCUGUUUUGGCAAAGGAGAGUUAAACAUUUUUGCCUUCAUGGCCUAGCCAUUAACCCAUAAGAAUUUAAAUGCUACACAAACCGAUGUGAAGAAAAGACUGGUAUGAAAUCAUUUAUUCCUGGGUCUAAAUUAAAAGAAUCACUAGAUUUAUGUGAAAAUGAAGCCAGCACCAGGCCCAGUUAAUGCUAGUCUUUCAUGUGAAAUGUGAAGCUGCCACAUUGCCUUUUCUGUUAGUUUGAUAACUAGAGUAGCUGGUACAUAAUCACUGAGGAGCUAUUUCUCUAACAUGCUUUGAUAGACCACAUUAAUGCUAGACCACUAUUUAAGGGCUGAUCUCACACCUUCUUAGCCUAAGAGUCUGGCUUAGAACAGACCUCUCUGUGCAAUAACAUGUGGCCACUAGAAAUCCCUGGCCUGCAUUUGUAUUUGGGCAGCGAUGACUCCCAAGGGCCAAGAGAGUUAAAGGCAUGACUGGGAUUUCUUCUGAGACUGUGGUGAAACUCCUUCCAAGGCUGCGGGGUCAUUAGGUGCUUUGGAGGAACUCAGCAUCACUUGAUAUUCAGUAGCCACUUGAGCCAAAUAGAAAACUGUAUUUACUGCUAAUGGACUCAAUUUGAGCCUUCAAAUUUAUGGUUAUCCUAUUAUACUGUAAACUAAUACGUUGUUUGUCUAGCAUUGAUUAGGUUUCUGUGCAUAUGUAUUUCUCACAAUGCCCUCUCCUCCCCAGAUUGGAAUUAAACCAGAUUUUGGAAACUCAUUCUGAUUUUUUCAAGUCUGUUGGUUUCAAGAGAAUUACAUAAUUUUCUCAAGAUAAACCCCUAACAGUCAACUUUUAUGUUAAACACUAACUUAUAUGUAAUAUUAAUGAUAGGGGAAAAAAUGUACAAGUAUUUUAGCUAUUCCAGUCAUUAGUAACAUAUACUUUGCUACCUUAGGUUAGCUUUAACUUCAAGAUUAAGUACAUAUUUCUUCCUUGGAGAAGCAUCAACAUAAGUGAAGAAGGGGGAACUCUCAGAUAUUAUACAAGUAUUAAAAAGACUUUACAAAGAAAUAGGUAUAAUAAUGACAAGGAAAAAAAUCAGUUGAAGGGCACAGUCUCUUUCAACAAAAAUACUAAAAAGCCAAUUAUGGAACAGUUGCACAUCCACCUUUCCUAAAGGUAAUCCUAAAACCUCAUCAAGAAGCUUUUUUUAAAAAGAUUUUAUUUAUUCACGAGAGACAGAGACACAGGCAGAGGGAGAAGCAGGUAAGACAAAGAGAUUUAGAAGUCAUUAAUACGACAGGCAGCAAGAGUUCUUAAUUACUGUGUACUUUCUAUGUGCACGUACUGUGUGAAGCAUUCAUUUAUUCAUCAAAACCUGAUGAAGAGAAAAAUGAUCCUCAUGUUACAAGUAAGUAGUAACUUAACUAAACUGAAAUAAUUUGCGCCAGGUUAAAAAACUAGGAAGUGGCAAAGCUAAUCUUCAAAGGCAGGUUUGACACCCAAGUCUAUAUUCUCAAACACUUAACCUUCCUUCUACCUAAAAUGUACAUGGUGAAAAGGCCAAUACAGACCCUCGGAGAACACCAAUGUCUCUGAGUAGUUAGGUCUUCCGGUAAAUCUAAGUACAACUCCAGAAAGACCACACCAUAGGAUGAAGACUGCUCUCUUCUUUGUUUCAGAGAAAGCCUGAUAGUUUAUCUUACCUUAUAUGAUGACACUCUGUCUCAACUCACUCAAUCCUGAAAAGUGCCACUAAAAAUUCAUCUGGAUCUAUGACUGUGGUUAAACAAAUGAUGAUUUUGAUAGUUAUUGUUUUAUUGUAAAUAAUCUUUCAUCCAGAGUAAGCAGCUAUUUUUUAGCUAGAAAGCCUAAUUUCUUUGUACUUAACCUAAUAAGGAUUUGACUUCAACUAAAGUUUCUCCAAACACACACAAAUGCCAAUGACCAUUUGGUAACGGUACAGUAGGAACUUACCCACACGCUGCAGAGCUAGGCGUUGGUGUGGAGACUUCAAAUACACACUGUAAUUUUUUUCUUGGCUACCGAUUUCUUUUUCAUAGGGUCCACUGUCCCUAAAGGAUGGAUAUGAAUUAUGGAUAUGAAUGUGGAAAGAUGGAAAGGGAACAGAGUUGGAGAGAAGUGGUACAACGAGUACCACGGAGUAGAGGCAGCUUCAUACACAGUAGUCAGGGGACGUGGGUCUCGCUGCCCCUUCAACACCAUUCACUGAAUGACUGGGGUAAUUUUCUACUUGUUUUAUAAAAAUGGGGCCAAUAAUAGAAGCUACAUCAUAGGUUUGGUGUGAGGACUAAGUAAUAUAUUAAAGCAGGCAGUGUACUCUGGUAUAACGUCAUCAAUAAGGUUGAAAGUUACUAGAAAAAAAUUAAGAGGCUGUUCUGUCCAACUAGACUGUCGUUUAAACUUAAAACUUAAACUGUUCUAAAAAAUUGUGAGAAUAACAUAACUUGUCGCUAAAGCCAAUCUAAUUUUACCGAGAGAGGCUCAGUGGAUUGGCUACCGGAGGCCACCAUUUCUUUUUCCAUCCUAAUCCUCUUUAACUUAGUUCUUUCAAAAGUGGAAGGUUUCUCUGAGGAUGCAGUAUACAUGGUCACUCCUAUUUAGCAAAACCAAAAAGAUAAACAGGUUAGUGUUGACUCAGCCCAUCAUCUAUGGGAAACCAGAAUCUAAGAAAACAAACCUUAUUAUUAUUUGUCAAAAUCUGGUGGCAAAGGCUUUAGAAAAGGAACAUGCAAUGUUGGCAGAGUGUGGGUAAAGAGGCUAUUUCAGACCAGACUGAUAAAAUUUUCUGGAGCAAUUUAGCAGUGCACAUCAAAGGUCUUUAAAAAGAUGCUUAGGUUUUGGGCACCUGGCUAGCUCGGUCAGUAGAACAUAUGACUCUUGAUCUUAUAAGUUAAAGCCCCAUAGUGAAGGUAGAGUUUACUUAAAAAAAAAAAAAAAA